ACUGAUAGUUCCCUGAAGAAGAAAAAGGAAAUCCCUACAGUUUUGGUUAGAAGACACCCACAAUUCUGCUUGCACCUGACAACCUGUAUCAGCUAGAACAGGCCUUCCGCUUGCAAUGGCUAAAUUUUAGACCAGCAUCCUCUCCUCAUUUACUUUCCUGGCGGGACAGAGGUAUGGCUCUGGAAAGAGAACGCUUUUUCAAGGACAUCUUCUCCCCUCCGUCAUGAAGUUUUCCACAAGAGCUGCUGGUUAUGAACUCACGGAGCACAAAUCUGAAGUGGAGCAAGAAUAAGCAGCAACACUUUUUACUAUUUUACUUUUACAGAUUAAUCCACCGUAGAAAAGAUGAAUUCUGGUUGUUAGAAAGAACAGAAGGGCAAACUGCGAUUCCAAAAACUAGAAAAUGAGACAGAAGCAGGUAUAGCCAAAUGUGCACACUCUGCCAUUGCCCCAGAACUGGACUGGUGCUGCUGAAGGGUUCAAAAUGGGCAUGGAGGAAUUCUCUACUAUCAGAGCUCAACAGUUGCAGGUCAUCAGAACUUGUGACAUGUCUUCAACACCUCCCGGCAAUCAGUUGUCUUUGUCUCCUGUGCUUAAUCUCUCCCAUCCUGCCAUCUUCUCUUUAAGUUGUCACAAGUAAAACAGGCCUAGGCAUGUCUCCUUCUAAGAACUAAUUGUCUGGCCAGGAAUGGAUUCAGUUGAAAUGCUAAUAAAAUCCCCCCCCUCACAUUGAUACUGAGAUGGCUGAAGUCAUGCAGUGAGUCUUCUCUCUGGAAUUACACCUCUUGAUCCUUUUAAUUAAGAUUUUAUGAGACCCCGCACCCUGGGAAUGAAGAAAGCACUGUUAUUUUUAUCUGAAUUAUUGUUAUAAUAAAAAGGAAGCUGCUGGAUUCUAGGAGUCUCUCCU